rnacentral:rRNA from 1 species
GUUUGAUCCUGGCUCAGAUUGAACGCUGGCGUGUAUGCUUAACACAUGCAAGUCGAACGGUAGCAGCAGAGCUUGCUCUGGCUGACGAGUGGCGGACGGGUGAGUAAUACAUAGGAAUCUGCCCAGUAGUGGGGGACAACUCGAAGAAAUUCGAGCUAAUACCGCAUACGACCUACGGGUGAAAGACUUCGGUCGCUAUUGGAUGAGCCUAUGUCAGAUUAGCUUGUUGGUGAGGUAACGGCUCACCAAGGCAACGAUCUGUAGCUGGUCUGAGAGGAUGAUCAGCCACACUGGGACUGAGACACGGCCCAGACUCCCUACGGGAGGCAGCAGUGGGGAAUAUUGGACAAUGGGCGAAAGCCUGAUUCCAGCAAUACCGCGUGUGUGAAGAAGGGGCCUGCGGGUUGUAAAGCACUUUCAGUAGGGAA